rnacentral:rRNA from 1 species
UACAUAUCAAUAAGCGGAGGAAAAGAAACCAACAGGGAUUGCCUUAGUAACGGCGAGUGAAGCGGCAACAGCUCAAAUUUGAAAUCUGGCCCCAGGCCCGAGUUGUAAUUUGCAGAGGAUGCUUUUGGCGCGGUGCCUUCCGAGUUCCCUGGAACGGGACGCCAUAGAGGGUGAGAGCCCCGUCUGGUUGGAUACCAAGCCUUUGUAAAGCUCCUUCGACGAGUCGAGUAGUUUGGGAAUGCUGCUCUAAAUGGGAGGUAUAUGUCUUCUAAAGCUAAAUACCGGCCAGAGACCGAUAGCGCACAAGUAGAGUGAUCGAAAGAUGAAAAGCACUUUGGAAAGAGAGUUAAACAGCACGUGAAAUUGUUAAAAGGGAAGCGUUUAUGACCAGACUUGGGCCGGUUAAUCAUCCAGCGUUCUCGCUGGUGCACUUUGCCGGUCCAGGCCAGCAUCAGUUCGCUGCGGGGGAUAAAGGCGUCGGGAAUGUGGCUCCUCCGGAGUGUUAUAGCCCUUCGCGCAAUACCCUGCGGUGGACUGAGGUUCGCGCAUCUGCAAGGAUGCUGGCGUAAUGGUCAUCAACGACCCGUCUUGAAACACGGACCAAGGAGUCGUCUUCGUAUGCGAGUGUUCGGGUGUAAAACCCCUACGCGUAAUGAAAGUGAACGCAGGUGAGAGCUUCGGCGCAUCAUCGACCGAUCCUGAUGUUCUCGGAUGGAUUUGAGUAAGAGCAUACGGGGCCGGACCCGAAAGAAGGUGAACUAUGCCUGUAUAGGGUGAAGCCAGAGGAAACUCUGGUGGAGGCUCGCAGCGGUUCUGACGUGCAAAUCGAUCGUCAAAUAUGGGCAUGGGGGCGAAAGACUAAUCGAA